rnacentral:misc_RNA from 1 species
GAAAUGCGAUAAGUAAUGUGAAUUGCAGAAUUCAGUGAAUCAUCGAAUCUUUGAACGCACCUUGCGCUCCUUGGUAUUCCUUGGAGCAUGCCUGUUUGAGUAUCAUGAAAUCUUCAAAGUAAAUCUUUUGUUAACUCAAUUGGUUUCUACUUUGGUAUUGGAGGUCUUUGCAGCUUCACACCUGCUCCUCUUUGUUCAUUAGCUGGAUCUCAGUGUUAUGCUUGGUUCCACUCGGCGUGAUAAGUUAUCUAUCGCUGAGGACACUGUAAAAGGUGGCCAAGGUAAAUUCAGAUGAACCGCUUCUAAUAGUCCAUUGACUUGGACAAUACUUUUAUGAUCUGAUCUCAAAUCAGGUAGGACUUCCCGCUGAACUUAAGC